UUGGAGUAUCUUUGCAUAGAAAAACUAAACUAGAAUUUCGUCCUAAAAUGCCAUUUCAUGCCUUUUUCCACGAGCAAAUUAUUUCAGCCAUGGUUUAGUUUUCUGGCGAUGUUUAAAUUUCGGUUCCCAAAUUCCUACCAAGUCAACUGACUCGGUUGACUCAUAGCUAAUUACGGGCCUGCAGAUGAUGGUCAAAUUCAGAAAU